CCUUUAAUUUGGGUUUCAAAAUAUACAAUUGAUGGCCUGACACUCCGUACCAAAACAUUGUAUAACUGUACAAUAAUUCAAGCUCAUUGGUUGAAAAUUGGUUCUAAUUGUCACAGGCAACAUCAGCACCUUUGCAGAGAAGGGAGAGGGAUAAACAGUGAUGUGGUUUGAAGGGGUUUGUUGCUGCUAUUCCUCUCUUGACCAUUAGAAGUCCGAAAUUACCUAUUGUACCUUUAAUCUGAAAGAUUCUUCUAAAACAAUUGAGACGGGUGUGUGGGGGUAGGACCCAAAAUGCAUGAUUCAGACACAGAUGUGAUGAAGUCCCGUCAGGACUUUAUGAAGGGAUUGUCCAAUGAGCGUAGUCGAAAACAAGCAAAGUUCAUACAGAAAAUCCAGCCAAAAUCAAAGUACAGUACCGAGGGAGAAGGCAGUCUCGCAACCGGUACAUUAUGUAAAAAGUCCAGUCACCAGGAAAGCUGUCAGCGGGGCAGUAGUGCAGACGGACAGUAGGCAGACUCGGGGUCGAAGGCGGUGCAAGAGUGAAGACAGAAGUCCGCUCCGCGGGGAAAAAGCACAAAGACAGCAGGCAAGAGUUUGUGGUACAGGCAGGCAAUGGUCAACAAAACAGAAAUCAAUGACUUCGGUCAGUAAACAGGCUUGGAUCGUAACAGGUAAUCAAUGGCUUGGAAACCCACUCAACAGUGCACUGACGAACAGGAGGCAACAAUUUUGCAAAGACAUGACAUGAACACUGAGCUUAUAUGCAGGUGUAGACAGGUGCAGACAAUUAGCGUGAGAGUAGCAGGUGAGGAGGAUCGAACAGGAUAAUUAGUAAUCGUCAGUAAUAAACCUAUCCUAUCCUGUGUUAGUAAAUUAGUCAAUGACAUGCACAAGAAACAUAAGGGAAACAUGAACACAUGGUUAGAAUGUUAGUAUUACCCAAUCCUGAUCUAACGUUAGUAGAUUAAUAAGUAGAUUAAUAAGUAGACACAUUAAACAAUUAGGGAAGCAAGGGAGAGAGAGAAAGCAUGAACGCAAGGUUUACGGAAAGACUAUAAGUAAUAAGGGAUUUGUCCGAAAUGAGACUGGGGGCGCCCCAGGAACUAUUUGCAAAUCAGUAGCCCUGCUGGCACAGUAAAGUGACAUUCUAUUUCUUGUGUACAGAUUUUUGCCAACUGCUGACACAAUGUAACUGUCUCAUCUUUUUGUAAACCUUGUUCUUUAUUCAUGGUUUAGAGAUCUGAUCCAUUUUACAUUGAGCUUCACUUGAAAGUCACCACCUGCACAAAAACAGAAAAGACCACACAACGAGAUGACUGCCCAUUUAUGGACCGAAGGCCACUUAUCAACUGCGCUGUUUGCAAUAAAGGGACUGAGUCCGGCCUCUACGUUCACUGCGCUCCGCAACUGCAAGUAAAUCAGAGAGAUCGGAAAAAGAACUGCCCAAGCUACUUCCCUGGAAGUGUAUUACUUUUGGGCGCCCCCCCUAAACCUCUGGCUCCGUGAUGGCUCUGUGAUGGUUCAAUGCUGUCUGAAAUAAUACGCAUUCCCUUUUCUGCUUUGAAUGAAUGUACU